UUUACCAAAUUUCCAGCCGGACAAAUGGUAAAGUACAAAUUAAAUAAUAAUAAUAAUAAUAAUAAUAAAACUUACCAUUGGGGAGCUGAAGGUACUUGUUUAGUUUAGAAAUUUAGCUGUGUCUGGCAAUAAAAACGAACUGAUCGCACGCUCGAUGGCCGCUGACCAUUGAUAUUGAGCCGAUCGGAGGAUGCUCGAUCUUCGAUUUCAUCAGCGAUUAGCACGAGCUGUAAUUGGAAAAUAAUAUCAUUUAGGAUUCAAUAAAAUCGUCGAAAGUAUUAGUAGAGUACAUUUGUUGACAGAAAGUAAGACAGAAAUAUUUUGGCAAUUGUUUGAAAUGCUCAAAGUUUUCGCCGACUAGUGGUAAAAUCGAAGGAUAUUUGCGUAGUUGAGAAAAGGUAACGUACCUUUUCAAACGGUUAUGCCCAUGCCAGUCGACAAAGACAUAAAAGGCAAACGGAACACCGAUGCUGGCAAAAUUGUCGGAAACACCCGGGAAAUGGCAGUCUUGAGUCUAGAGUCCAGUCGAAUUCGCCUAGAACAAUACAAUUUGCAGGUCAACGGGAGAAAGUCUUUCGCAAUUGUUGUUUGAAAUAAAUCAGCUUGGCUUCAUUAAGCGACAGGAAUAAGUGACAAGCCUGAGCAAGAAAAUGAACGCGUCUACGACAGAAAACAUAAAAAUGCGACAGGGUAUCAAAAUCGACGAUACGUGAUGAUCGGAUACGUGAUUCGGACGUCGCACCGGGAGUAGAUAAGGAAUUGGUACCGAAAUUUGAAAGCCCCUACGUUAUUAAAAA